AAAGUGAGGCUCAAUUAUUGGAUGUGCACAUGACAUACACACUCAGGUUUCAAAAUAAUUCCCAUAAAGAGAAAGAGUUUUUUUUUUUUAACUUAAAGGAAAUAAAUCGGAUUCGUAGCUUUGCAGGAGGGUGCAGCCAGGCCCUCGCAGGAACCAUGUUUUGCAAGCAGUAUGACAAUGAAGUUACUGUUUGGAGCAGGAUUCAUCACAUUGAAUAUGCCAUGGAAGCUGUUAAACAAGGUUCAGCCACAGUUGGUCUGAAGUCAAAAACCCAUGCAGUGUUGGUAGCUUUGAAAAGGGCACAGUCAGAGCUUGCAGCUCAUCAGAAAAAAAUUCUCCAUGUUGACAACCACAUUGGUAUCUCAACUGCGGGGCUUACUGCUGAUGCUAGACUGUUGUGCAAUAUUAUGCGCCAGGAGUGCUUGGAUUCCAGAUUUGUAUUUGACAGACCACCUCCUGUGUCUCGUCUUGUCUCUCUAAUCGGAAGCAAGACCCAGAUACCAACACAACGGCAUGGCCGGAGACUGUAUGGUGUUGGGCUGCUUAUUGCUGGUUAUGAUAUGGGCCCUCACAUUUUCCAAACCUGUCCAUCUGCCAACUAUUUCGACUGCCGAGCUAUGUCCAUUGGAGCCCGUUCCCAAUCAGCUCGUACUUACUUGGAGAGACAUAUGUCUGAAUUUAUGGAGUGCAAUUUAAAUGAACUGGUUAAACAUGGUCUGCGUGCCCUAAGAGAGACACUUCCUGCAGAGCAGAACCCAACUACAAAGAAUGUUCCCAGUGGAAUUGUUGGUAAAGACUUGGAGUUUACAAUCUAUGAUGAUGAUGUAUCUCCAUUCCUGGAAGGUCUAGAAGAAAGACCACAGGGAAAGGCACAGCCUGCUCAACCUGCUGAUGAACCUGCAGAAAAGGCUGAUGAACCAAUGGAACAUUAAGUGAUAAACCAUUCUAUAUGUGCAUUAUCAAAUAUGUAAGAAUGCAGGAACACAUACUGAUGACAGUAAUCUAUACUUUGAACUAAAAGUUGCAGAGUAGUGGAAUGGUAUGUUUUAGGAAUCAGUCCCAAUGUGAGUUGUUUCCAAGCAGCCUCACUGAUGCCACAUAAUGGGGUUCAUUUUUCUUUCAGAGGGUAUAUGUAUCAUUUUCUAGAAAGUAUAGGUAUCUGUACUAAUGUUUUUAUAUGAAGAAAAUAGUGUCUUUGUGGUUUAAAAGACAACUGUGAAAUAAAAUUAUUUCACCUCCUAAAAAAAAAAAGAAAUAAAUAAAAUGCUAAACUGAAAACAAUCUGGAGUUUAGACAAUGUGACCCCCUUGUUUUCUAGGUGAGGAUAGUAGAACCCCACGUGGUGUGGCUCACACAAGGUCAACCAGCCAGUUAGUUAAAGCAGAAUCGUGAUGAGAUUUGGGGCUUCCUAAGUCAUGCUUUAAUGUCCCAUGGAUUUUACAUGACCCCCUGCUUUCCUGGUCACCCAAAUCACAUAAAUAUUAUAGUCAUACAGUAUUCAGUGUAUAGGGAUGUGGUCAUCCUAUUUCACACACCUGCAAAUAGCUCUAGAAAAAUUAUUAGUACAGGAACCACUAAGGUGAGCAGAUGAGAGAUCGGGAUAAAGCAAAUGGCUUCCUGUUUCUGUCCUUAGAAGCGAGGCAGCUUCUUUAUUCAUGAGGUCACACUUACUUUGGUAGAAAUACACACGCAUUUGAGGAAGACCACAGAUAGAAAUCAUGUACUGGAAAGGCCCGGAAGAACACCCUCACCCACACACAGGCUUUUAUAGUCAGUUAUGGGUGUCGGGCAGGGAGACAAGAGGAGCAUGUUGAAGAGGAUUUCUUUUUACUUUACUCCCUACUGCAUUGUCUGAGUAUUUCACUAUAAGCAUGUAUAAAUAUUAUAAUAGAAAAAAGCACUUUUGAAAAUCUUUCUGAUUUUCUGAAAAAGAGAGGAGUCCAUUGUGAGUAUAUAGUACUUCCAUUCUGCUCUCACUAAAAAAGGAGCUAAGAAGAUCAAUGUUCCGAUUGCAAUUAUUAAUAUUUACUGGUAAUGGUAGUGAAUAA